AGAAAUAAAAAUAAAUUCACCCCAUCUAUUUGUACCUAAAUAUUUUAAAAAAUAACUACUUUAAUUUUCUAUAUAUUUUUUAAAAAUUUUAAAAAUAUAAAAAGCCUUAGUUUUUUCUUUAAAAAAAAUACCCACAUCGUUCUUGUGUAAUUAUCUAUAAAUAAUAGAAAAUAUUUACUUCUAACAUGUGAGGUAGCCUGCAC
rnacentral:lncRNA from 1 species